rnacentral:piRNA from 1 species
UAAGAUUCCUUGGGCGUCAGAUGUCUGU